rnacentral:lncRNA from 11 species
GAUGGUUUUAAUAUACGGUUUUAAAAAUAAAUGACUCUGGGACAGGCGCGCCUUGGACAGGCCUACCUUGUAUGGCACUGAAGGACCUUCCUGGCUCUCGCUGCGCCGCGGCAAGGAAAGGGUGUGUGGUGGGCGUGGCUAAAGGGCAGCGGGGGCGUGGCUUUGCCCAGACUCCGGCAAAGACGGACAGGGAAAGGAGGGGGCAAGAGAGACAGAGAUCGCAAAGCACCAUGGGACAAAGAAUGGCAGAUGUGAAGUCAGACCACAUUAUCUCCUCCCCUCCAUCGACUUAG